AUUGAACGCUGGCGGCAGGCCUAACACAUGCAAGUCGAGCGAGCGGCGGACGGGUGAGUAAUGUCUGGGAAACUGCCGGAUGGAGGGGGAUAACUACUGGAAACGGUAGCUAAUACCGCAUACCAUCAGAUGUGCCCAGAUGGGAUUAGCUAGUAGGUGGGGUAAUGGCUCACCUAGGCGACGAGCCCUAGCUGGUCUUAGAGGAUGACCAGCCACCCUGGGCCUGGGACCCGGUCCAGACUCCUACGGGAGGCAGCAGUGGGGAAUAUUGCACAAUGGGCGCAAGCCUGAUGCAGCCAUGCCGCGUGUGUGAAGAGGGCCUUCGGGUUGUAAAGCACUUUCAGCGGGGAGGCUUUACCCGCAGAAGAAGCACCGGCUAACUCCGUGCCAGCAGCCGCGGUAAUUC
rnacentral:rRNA from 1 species